rnacentral:lncRNA from 1 species
UUAGCCCAUUUAAUUUAGACUACUGCUCAGUCCUUCUCCACUCCAAUUCUCCUUCUCGUCCUUACUCAGUUACUCCUUACCUUAGACUCGAACUCUCAGAUCUCAGUACUCUCUCUGUCUCUCAGUCCUCAGAUCAGAUAUCUGAUCUCUCUCAUCUCAAGUCUCAAGUCUCGACUGUCUCAUCGUCUUCUCGAACUCUCAGUCUCAGAGUCUCAGAUCUGAGAUCUCUCAAGCCUCAAGUCUCGAACUCUCGAACUCUCGACGCCGGCGACCCUUCAUCACAAACUCUCGAACUCUCAGAUCUUGGCGCCGGCGACAGCUUUCCAUUUGUUAAGGUAAUUUUUUUAUUUACCUUUACUAAAUUCUCGAAGACCGAUUGCUUUUUAGUGCAUCUUUUUAGUGUAUUUAUUUUUGUGUAAUUGUGUCUGUGCAUGUGUAAUUUCUUAGGUUUUGAAAAGAAAUUAGGAAAAAGUUGAUACUCUGUUUUUGUUCCUUAAUUUCUCAGGAAAAAGUUGAUACUCUGUUUUUGUUCCUUAAUUUCUCAGGAAAAAGUUGAUACUCCAGUAGUUGCUGAAUAGCGACGUGAUGAUUGUAUAUUUUAUUUGUAUAUAUAGUUUUCUCCUUAUCUGUUUUCAUGCUUGAGAUUGAUGAGGCAGGAGUACUGAAAUUUGAGUCAUUUUGAUCUGAACUAGGCUGCCGCCUCAUACAACGGAGGUUUUGCCCCAUUGGUGCGUUUUUUUUUUCUUCCAAUAAAAAUAUCAUCUAUGAAUCUCCAAAGUGAGAAAUGGUUUGAAUUUGUUAUCUUGAAUGUAUUAUAAAGAAAAAUCUCGACGGAGAAUGAUAGAGGAAAAUCAUAGUCAUGGGCCCUUUGAUUGCCAAGUCAUGAGUUUAUUAUCUAUUUCAUAGUUUAUUUAUAACCAUAAAAUUUUGUUAAUUUUUAUUUAUUUAGUUACACAUAUAUAUGUAACAUAUUUAGCCACAGAUUCCUCUACUUUAGGCCACUUGAAGAUUGAUACAAAAAUGGUGAUAAAAGCAAAGCUUAUCUGGUAUUAGUUGGUGUUAAAAGGAGUAUGUAGUAGUAACAAAUAGAAGUAUUCUUCAUGUGUCAGACAAAAGUUACUCUCUUUUAGUGCAUACAUAGUCCUUGAGACUUUAAAUUCACUAUUAUUUUGGGUUGUAAAGAAACUAACAUUUUAGCAACCAGUACUAACAUUUCACUAUUGUUUGUUUGAAAUUUUCAGAUGAUGUCAAGAAGUAUUUUAAACGAUUUGCAUAUGGUGGAUGAUACAGACGAGCCUGAUUUAUUCAUUGUAUACAUUUAAUGAGCAUCAAUUUAUUUGUAACUGAUGUAGUUUCUUUCUUUUUAUUCAUUGCAGUUUGGAAGUUGGCUCAGUUGUCUCAUGCUCAUUGACUGUUGUUGUAGUUUGGAAGUUUGCUGUUGAGUGUCUCAGUCAGUUAGUUGGUGUUGGAUCAUUCAUGUUUUUAUAAUUUGUCUUGUUGGAUCAUUUCUGUUUUUGUUAUUGCUGUUGGUAUUGUCUCAGUUGGUGAUGGAUCAGUUGGUGACUUGGUGUUGGUCCUGUUGGUGACUUGGUGUCUAAUACUCUCAUUCAUGUUUUUGUUAUUGCUCUAAUGCUCUUGGUGUUGGUCUGUUGGAUCAGUUGGUGUUGUCUCCGUUGUCUCAAGACUCUCAGUUGGUGUUGUCCUGUUAGAGCUUUUGGAUAUCUUGUUGAAUGUUGAAUUGUUGAUUGCUG